rnacentral:rRNA from 1 species
GAUGAACGCUGGCGGCGUGCCUAAUACAUGCAAGUCGAGCGAACGGACGAGAAGCUUGCUUCUCUGAUGUUAGCGGCGGACGGGUGAGUAACACGUGGAUAACCUACCUAUAAGACUGGGAUAACUUCGGGAAACCGGAGCUAAUACCGGAUGAUAUUUUGAAACGCAUGGUUCAAAAGUGAAAGACGGUCUUGCUGUCACUUAUAGAUGGAUCCGCGCUGCAUUAGCUAGUUGGUAAGGUAACGGCUUACCAAGGCAACGAUGCAUAGCCGACCUGAGAGGGUGAUCGGCCACACUGGAACUGAGACACGGUCCAGACUCCUACGGGAGGCAGCAGUAGGGAAUCUUCCGCAAUGGGCGAAAGCCUGACGGAGCAACGCCGCGUGAGUGAUGAAGGUCUUCGGAUCGUAAAACUCUGCUAUUAGGGAAGAACAUAUGUGUAAGUAACUGUGCACAUCUUGACGGUACCUAAUCAGAAAGCCACGGCUAACUACGUG